UGUGGGACAGCCACUUCUCUGUUUUGUCAAGUUGAACCCAGAGCUGAUCAUGUUCCAUCCAAGCACUCAUAAAUUGUGCAUACAUGGAGAAGCCAGAGCUCCUAUUGGACAUCUACUCUUUCACUAAAGAUUGCAACGGUACAAUUCUACAUGUGACUUGCCAAACCACCUUCAGGGACCACGGUUGGGGUCGACACAAAGAUUAUCUGCAUCACCCAGAGGCGAAUGUGGGAGAUAGGAAAAUCGUUUUUGUACCUGGGCCUUUGCAUGUCACAGAUCAUCUUGGACUGCUCAUCGCUCCCCACACUUUCUGUGCGCCAACCCUAAGCACCAUGAUCCUGAAGACCAAACAGGAUGCUCAUUCAAACCUUCCAGAUGACGGUGGAGUGGGACUGCACCUUGUUCAAUAACUUGGAGAGAAAUCCCCAGUCUCCCAUUUCAUCUGAUUUUCAACAACGUUCUGCAUGCAAACAGAUUGAAAAAUGUUUCCGUAUUUACAGACUAUGGAAUUCGUUUUGAUGGAACUGCAAAAUAGCUAUUCUACUGUUGUUCUGUAUCAUUUGUAUCUUUAACAUAUAUUGAUGUUUCCUGCUCUGAUUGGCUGUUGCAUGGUGGUUAUUGUGUGAGCAUAUAAAUGCUCAUAUAGGGGACUGAUGGAACUGGAAAUAUUGCUAUUCUGUUGUUGUAAGACAUUAACUCCUUAUGUUGUAUCUGCAACUCAUUUUGGAUGUGUACUCUGUCUGUUUCACUGAGACCUGAACAAGUGGCUUGUGAACCCUCCCCCCCCCCCCA
ensembl:lncRNA